rnacentral:rRNA from 1 species
AUUGAACGCUGGCGGCAGGCCUAACACAUGCAAGUCGAACGAGUGGCGGACGGGUGAGUAAUGUCUGGGAAACUGCCUGAUGGAGGGGGAUAACUACUGGAAACGGUCGCUAAAACCGCAUACCAUCGGAUGUGCCCAGAUGGGAUUAGCUAGUAUGUGGGGUAAAGGCUCACAUGGGCGACGAUCCCUAGCUGGACUGAGGGGAUGACGAGCCACACUGGAACUGAGCAACGGUCCAGACUCCUACGGAAGGCAGCAGUGGGUAAUAUUGCACAAUGGGCGCAAGCCUGAUGCAUCCAGGCCGCGUGUAUGAAGCAGGCCUUCGGGUUGUAAAGUACUUUCAGCGGGGAGGCGUUACCCGCAGAAGAAGCCCCGGCUAACUCCGUGCCAGCAGCCGCUGUAAUUC